rnacentral:lncRNA from 1 species
GGAAAGAGGAGAAUGAGCUGAACCUGUACACGCAGAUGAUAGUCACUGAUGGAUCUGUAGUAGAUCAGAGUUCCAAUAUGACCAUGCUCUUGAAAGGGAGGCACUGAAUACAGAGCACAUUUAUCAAGGCAAAAGUGCUUAACUAUGACCUUAAGCACAUGCUGCUGCUUGUUAGUUUAACUGAAGCUGCACAAACAUGAUAAAAGGCUCCCAUUAUUAGCCUCUGUCAAAGUUGGAAGAUUGGACUCCAUAGCUGCCUUUGAAUUCUUGGUAGACUACAGUCUGUUCUUAGGACUGACCUUGUCACAGGCCUUAUUACACAUGGCAGCUAGAGACACCAAGUGAAGUAUGAAGAAACUUUGUCUUUUCUGAGCCAUCUUCUCAUAUGUAGCUGAAAGCUACACAGAGGAAGAAGAAAUGAUUCUACAGACCUACUGUCACACUGUGUUUCCAUGGGUGCGUGGGCAAACUGAUCUAGUACUUGAUCCAGCAGCUGUCUGUGACAGAGAAGGUGGAACUUGACUGACGUCCCUUCCAACCCAAGCCAUUGUAUGGUUCUAUGAAUAUAUUCCAAAUAUCCGAA